rnacentral:rRNA from 1 species
CCUACGGGGGGCAGCAGUGAGGAAUAUUGGUCAAUGGACGAGAGCCUGAACCAGCCAAGUAGCGUGAAGGAUGACUGCCCUAUGGGUUGUAAACUUCUUUUAUAUGGGAAUAAAAUGUUCCACGUGUGGGAUUUUGUAUGUACCAUAUGAAUAAGGAUCGGCUAACUCCGUGCCAGCAGCCGCGGUAAUACGGAGGAUCCGAGCGUUAUCCGGGUUUAUUGGGGUUAAAGGGAGCGUAGGUGGAUUGUUAAGUCAGUUGUGAAAGUUUGCGGCUCAACCGUAAAAUUGCAGUUGAAACUGGCAGUCUUGAGUACAGUAGAGGUGGGCGGAAUUCGUGGUGUAGCGGUGAAAUGCUUAGAUAUCACGAAGAACUCCGAUUGCGAAGGCAGCUCACUGGACUGCAACUGACACUGAGGCUCGAAAGUGUGGGUAUCAAACAGGAUUAGAUACCCGUGUAGUC